ensembl:lncRNA
CCGCGGAACACGCUGGGCGCAUGCAGACGCUGCUCUUUGUCACAGAUACAGCCAACCAUCCCAGGGGGGGACAUCUCUACCUCUGCCGUCCCAGCACCCUCUUCAACCUCCUCCACGCGAGACCCCGAGUUCCACCCCCACAAACAGGCCUCAUUAGACCCCAUCUUGUGAACAGGACACGCACAUACGUGUUGAACGGACGAAUUCCACAUCAGUUAGCUGCCUGUUCGCUGAACGUCUUUCCUGGACUCCAGGAUUGAAGGAAUUAGGACAAUGAAGAGCCACAAAGCAGGAGGAAACCAUCAUGCAGGCUCCACUCAAAGAGAACAAGGCUCAAAGAGAACACCAACUUCCUUGCAUAGGCUUCCUCUAGAAACAAAACUAUUGUGGGACAAUGAGGGAAGUGCUCCCCAUGCGGAGAACCUUUCUAUAGGUCUCCCUGGAGAUGUUCUGGGGCCUGGUACCCAGCGAGGCCGCCUGCAGCCACGUGGCCACUGGCCCUCUCCAUCUUUCACAAGGCAGGAGGGAUGGGAAGUGCUGGCAGGUGUUGGCAUCCUGCAGAUGCUGGUUAUCUUCCAGACCAGCUUCUCAGCCUCAGCAGGUGUAUGCCCUGAGUUACCAAGGAUUUCUGAAGCUGGUGGAAGCUCGGAGGCCCUGUCUGUGGCCAUGGAGACCCCAUAGAGCCCCUGCCUGUAGCCCUAUUUCUCCAGCAAGAGACUGCAGCCUUAACCAGCUGGCCUCGCCCAUCCACAGAACUGUGCUCCACGGGCACCUGCAGCAGCUCACUUUGGAUCACAGGACUGACCUUGUCUUCCAGCCGCACACAGGGAGCGGGGAGCAGGCUGGUCUCAGCCUCUGUCUGCCUGGAGGGACCCCGAGCCCAUCCAGUCUGGCCCUGCCGCUUCCAGGGUUACCCAGGUCCCAGGAUGGGAAAUCAAAGCCCAGCCGUGCUUGACAACAUUAGGACCUCAAAGCAGAGAAAAACAAACAGAACCUCUCCAAAACCAGAGGCUGGUCCAGAGCCAACAUUAUGAUCCUGGUCUCCUGUAUUACAAAAGGGAAAUACUAAGGCCCUAAUGAGAGGAAAGUGGAGUCCGAGGUCCCAGUGUGAGUCAACAGCAGAGCAGAGACCAGACCCAGGAACCACACUGCUAGGCCGGUGCUAUGAAAAAUCCAGACUCAGGCAAAAGAAAGCUCAACAUCCUGAUGUCCCUCUGUAGACGGGAGACGCCUGUGGAAAGGGAGAGGGUCAGCUGACACACCCUCAACAUCCUGAUGUCGCUCUAUAGACAGGAGACGCCUGUGGAAAUGGAGAGGGUCAGCUGGUAGACCUGGUUUGUCAAGAGUACUUGUGAAAAGGGUCGGGGUCUUGGUUGACUGGAAGGGUCUGAGUCCACCCUGUGAUUUACCUGCUACAAAGUCACUCAACAAAUGUGGCAGCCAAGGGUUCACCCACUAGCUAAUGUGACACAUGUAUGUCACACGUGUGUGUCACACACACACACACACACUUGUACAUUUAGCUUAAUACACUUUUUUUUUAAAGACUUUAUUUUUUCCUUUUUCUCCCCAACACCCCCCAGUACAUAGUUGUAUAUUCUUCGUUGUGGGUCCUUCUAGUUGUGGCAUGUGGGAUGCUGCCCCAGCGUGGUUUGAUGAGCAGUGCCAUGUCCGCGCCCAGGAUUCCAACCAACGAAACACUGGGCCGCCUGCAGCGGAGCGCACGAAUUUAACCACUCGGCCACGGGGCCAGCCCCAGGCUUAAUAAAUUUUGAUGCCAGAGUAAGGGAGAUGUCCGUCCUUCCUGACCAGACCCCAUGCAGUGAGUUGUAUUCACUUUAAGAGGAAAGCUGACAAACUAGAGCAUUCUCCAAGAAAAGCACCCAAGAAGUCAAGCUAACUCAAAAUAACAAUGUGAGGAGCUGUGUUUCAAAGCCCAGGAGAAGCUUAGUUUACAGAAGAGAAGACUCAACGCAUACUGCAUCUGACCCCAAAUUGCUGAAAAAUAAUGUGAAAAGGAGAAUAGAAUCAUUAUGGGUCAUUUUAGGGAGCAAAGCUGGGUCUGAACCCAGACACCAGCAAGUCCACCCGUCAUCCUCCAUCCCCUGAGACCCACUCUGAGAAGGCACCCUCCUUCCAUCACUCUAGUCCCAGAGUUUUCCAAAACUCAGAUCUGACCAGACAGCACCCCUUCGGUGGGUCUGAGAAACUGUCACAGCCAAGGGGAGCCUAAGGCUACACGACAACUAAAUGUAAUAUGGCAUCUCCGAUGGGACCCUGCAACAGAAAAACAACGUUAGGUAAAAACUCAGGGAGCCUGAAUAAAGUAUGGACUUUAGUUAAUAACAGUGUAUCAACAUGGGUGCAUUCAUU